GCGGCGUGCUUAACACAUGCAAGUCGAACGGAAAGGCCCUGCUUUUGUGGGGUGCUCGAGUGGCGAACGGGUGAGUAACACGUGAGUAACCUGCCCUUGACUUUGGGAUAACUUCAGGAAACUGGGGCUAAUACCGGAUAGGAGCUCCUGCUGCAUGGUGGGGGUUGGAAAGUUUCGGCGGUUGGGGAUGGACUCGCGGCUUAUCAGCUUGUUGGUGGGGUAGUGGCUUACCAAGGCUUUGACGGGUAGCCGGCCUGAGAGGGUGACCGGCCACAUUGGGACUGAGAUACGGCCCAGACUCCUACGGGAGGCAGCAGUGGGGAAUAUUGCACAAUGGGCGGAAGCCUGAUGCAGCAACGCCGCGUGCGGGAUGACGGCCUUCGGGUUGUAAACCGCUUUCGCCUGUGACGAAGCGUGAGUGACGGUAAUGGGUAAAGAAGCACCGGCUAACUACGUGCCAGCAGCCGCGGUGAUACGUAGGGUGCGAGCGUUGUCCGGAUUUAUUGGGCGUAAAGGGCUCGUAGGUGGUUGAUCGCGUCGGAAGUGUAAUCUUGGGGCUUAACCCUGAGCGUGCUUUCGAUACGGGUUGACUUGAGGAAGGUAGGGGAGAAUGGAAUUCCCUGGUGGAGCGGUGGAAUGCGCAGAUAUCAGGAGGAACACCAGUGGCGAAGGCGGUUCUCUGGGCCUUUCCUGACGCUGAGGAGCGAAAGCGUGGGGAGCGAACAGGCUUUAGAUACCCCUGGUAACCCCACGCUGUAAACGGUGGGUGCUAGAGGUGGGGUGCAUUCCGCGGGUUCCGUGCGGUAGCUAACGCUUUAAGUACCCCGCCUGGGGAGUACGGCCGCAGGGCUAAAACUCAAAGGAAUUGACGGGGGCCCCGCACAAGCGGCGGAGCAUGCGGAUUAAUUCGAUGCAACGCGUAGAACCUUACCUGGGUUUGACAUGGAUCGGGAGUGCUCAGAGAUGGGUGGUGCCUCUUUUGGGGUCGGUUCACAGGUGGUGCAUGGCUGUCGUCAGCUCGUGUCGUGAGAUGUUGGGUUAAGUCCCGCAACGAGCGCAACCCUUGUUCACUGUUGCCAGCACGUUAUGGUGGGGACUCAGUGGAGACCGCCGGGGUCAACUCGGAGGAAGGUGGGGAUGACGUCAAGUCAUCAUGCCCCUUAUGUCCAGGGCUUCACGCAUGCUACAAUGGCUGGUACAGAGAGUGGCGAGCCUGUGAGGGUGAGCGAAUCUCGGAAAGCCGGUCUCAGUUCGGAUUGGGGUCUGCAACUCGACCUCAUGAAGUCGGAGUCGCUAGUAAUCGCAGAUCAGCAACGCUGCGGUGAAUACGUUCCCGGGGCUUGUACACACCGCCCGUCAAGUCAUGAAAGUUGGUAACACCCGAAGCCGGUGGCCUAACCGUUGUGGGGGAGCCGUCGAAGGUGGGACUGGUGAUU
rnacentral:rRNA from 1 species